rnacentral:misc_RNA from 1 species
UCUCCGUAGGUGAACCUGCGGAGGGAUCAUUACUGAGUGAGGGCUCACGCCCGACCUCCAACCCUUUGUGAACACAUCUUGUUGCUUCGGGGGCGACCCUGCCGGCACUCUGUCGCCGGGCGCCCCCGAAGGUCUCCCAACACUGCAUCUGUGCGUCUGAGUAAAGAUUAAAUCAAUCAAAACUUUCAACAACGGAUCUCUUGGUUCUGGCAUCGAUGAAGAACGCAGC